AGCAGCCGCGGUAAUUCCAGCUCCAAUAGCGUAUAUUAAAGUUGUUGCAGUUAAAAAGCUCGUAGUUGAAUUUCGGGGUUAGCAGGUCGGUCGUGCCAUCGGUGUGAACUGGUCUCGCUGAUCCCUCCCUCUUGACGAACUGUGAUGCCAUUAAUUUGGUGUCGCAGGGAAUCAGGACUGUUACUUUGAAAAAAUUAGAGUGUUUAAAGCAGGCUCACGCUUGAAUACAUUAGCAUGGAAUAAUGAAAUAGGACGUUUGAUCCUAUUUUGUUGGCUUCUAGGAUUGACGUAAUGAUUAAUAGGGAUAGUUGGGGGCAUUAGUAUUCAAUUGUCAGAGGUGAAAUUCUUGGAUUUAUUGAAGACUAACUACUGCGAAAGCAUUUGCCAAGGAUGUUUUCAUUAAUCAAGAACGAAAGUUAGGGGAUCGAAGACGAUCAGAUACCGUCGUAG
rnacentral:rRNA from 1 species